GAGUUUGAUCCUGGCUCAGAUUGAACGCUAGCGGCAUGCUUUACACAUGCAAGUCGAACGGCAACGCGGGGUAACCUGGCGGCGAGUGGCGAACGGGUGAGUAAUACAUCGGAACGUGCCCUGUGAUGGGGGAUAACUACGCGAAAGCGUAGCUAAUACCGCAUACGACCUACGGGUGAAAGUGGGGGAUCGCAAGACCUCACGUCAUAGGAGCGGCCGAUGGCGGAUUAGCUAGUUGGUGAGGUAAAGGCUUACCAAGGCAACGAUCCGUAGCUGGUCUGAGAGGACGACCAGCCACACUGGGACUGAGACACGGCCCAGACUCCUACGGGAGGCAGCAGUGGGGAAUCUUGGACAAUGGGGGCAACCCUGAUCCAGCAAUGCCGCGUGUGGGAUGAAGGCCUUCGGGUUGUAAACCACUUUUGGCGGGGGCGAAAUAUCGAGUGCUAAUACCAUUCGGUGAUGACGGUACCCGCAGAAUAAGCACCGGCUAACUAC
rnacentral:rRNA from 1 species